rnacentral:rRNA from 1 species
AGAGUUUGAUCCUGGCUCAGGACGAACGCUGGCGGCGUGCCUAACACAUGCAAGUCGAACGGAGUUGAAAGGAGCUUGCUUUUUUCAACUCAGUGGCGGACGGGUGAGUAACGCGUGAGUAACCUGCCUUUCAGAGGGGGAUAACGUUCUGAAAAGAACGCUAAUACCGCAUAAGAUUGUAGUUUCGCAUGGGACAGCAAUCAAAGGAGCAAUCCGCUGAAAGAUGGACUCGCGUCCGAUUAGAUAGUUGGCGGGGUAACGGCCCACCAAGUCGACGAUCGGUAGCCGGACUGAGAGGUUGAUCGGCCACAUUGGGACUGAGACACGGCCCAGACUCCUACGGGAGGCAGCAGUGAGGGAUAUUGGGCAAUGGGGGAAACCCUGACCCAGCAACGCCGCGUGAGGGAUGACGGUUUUCGGAUUGUAAACCUCUGUCCUCUGUGAAGAUAGUGACGGUAGCAGAGGAGGAAGCUCCGGCUAACUACGUGCCAGCAGCCGCGGUAAUACGUAGGGAGCAAGCGUUGUCCGGAUUUACUGGGUGUAAAGGGUGCGUAGGCGGAUUGGCAAGUCAGAAGUGAAAUCCAUGGGCUUAACCCAUGAACUGCUUUUGAAACUGUUAGUCUUGAGUGAAGUAGAGGUAGGCGGAAUUCCCGGUGUAGCGGUGAAAUGCGUAGAGAUCGGGAGGAACACCAGUGGCGAAGGCGGCCUACUGGGCUUUAACUGACGCUGAGGCACGAAAGUGUGGGUAGCAAACAGGAUUAGAUACCCUGGUAGUCCACACUGUAAACGAUGAUUACUAGGUGUGGGGGGUCUAACCCCCUCCGUGCCGGAGUUAACACAAUAAGUAAUCCACCUGGGGAGUACGACCGCAAGGUUGAAACUCAAAGGAAUUGACGGGGGCCCGCACAAGCAGUGGAGUAUGUGGUUUAAUUCGAAGCAACGCGAAGAACCUUACCAGGUCUUGACAUCCGAUGCAUAGUGCAGAGAUGCAUGAAGUCCUUCGGGACAUCGAGACAGGUGGUGCAUGGUUGUCGUCAGCUCGUGUCGUGAGAUGUUGGGUUAAGU